UACGUAGGCAGCAAGCGUUGUUCGGAGUUACUGGGCGUAAAGAGUAUGUAGGCGGUGUCCCUAAGUUCGGUGUGAAAUCUCCCGGCUCAACUGGGAGGGUGCGCCGAAGACUGGGAUGCUGGAGUCUCGGAGAGGAACGCGGAAUUCCUGGUGUAGCGGUGAAAUGCGUAGAUAUCAGGAGGAACACCAGUGGUGUAGACGGCGUUCUGGACGAGUACUGACGCUGGAGAUACGAAAGCGUGGGGAGCAAACAGG
rnacentral:rRNA from 1 species